GAUUGUGGUCCAUAUUGACACAACAGCAUCAGACAAGCUGCUGCAUAUUUGUCGGCUGCGCGUCCAUGAUGUGAAUCUCCCGCUCCACCACAUCACAAAGGCGCUCUGCAAUGGGGCCCUUCUCCUCUGACCUCCAGCCACAACAGAGCUGCCGCUCACUGGGCAUUUUCUCUUUUCUCUCUCUCUUCAGACUGUUGUCUGUAAACCCUAGAGAUGGUUACUUGGAAAAUAUUCAGAUCAGCCCAUCUGAUGCCAACAACUGCAAGGUUCAAAUGAGCUAAAUCGCUUUCUUUCCCCAUCCUGAUGCUCGGUUUGAACCUAUGUUUGGCUAACAUUUGUGUUAACGAGCAGCUGAACAGGCAUGCCUAAUGAAGUGGCUGGACAGAGUAUACAAAAGAAAAUCAUCAAGGAGUGCUGACGUGUAUGGCUUGUAACCCUUCGUUUAGGUAGCCGCUCAGCUCUCUCUGCCCUGCUCUUCAUGUCACUGACACUAUGCAUUCAACCUGCUAAUGUGUGCUAAAUGACAAAGAGCCAACAGCAAAGCCUGCCCUUGCCCCAUCUUUCUGUUGUUGCAAGGGCCUGUCACCUCAUCACCAACACCAGCCUGUUAAACUCACUGCAGGCAGGCUGCACAGCUCUGAGUUUGGAGUACAGCGUGGGAGCUACACACACACAAAGCAGUGCUGGUGAGAAGAGGCUCUCGUAGUGUGAAGGGGAAAACGAAGAGAAAUCAGCUGCUGACAUGGUUUCCGAGGCAGAAAACGUUGUUACGGCCAGGCAGCUGUCAGGUCUUAUCCCUGCUUCUUUUACUGUGCUGUCUGUGGGAACUGGCUGACCAUUUACUGCCACCAUGUGACAAUUCAGACUCCCUGCAGAGGUCAAUAAGGUAUCUCCCAGACAUGUGAGACAAAGCUUGUUUUAUUUUGGCAACCCAAUUCUAAUGCUUUUCACUACAGUCUUUAUCAGGCCUGGGGAAAAUCUGGGUCAUGUUAAUGAGGUUUGCAAAUGUUUUUUAUUACGAUAUUUUUAUGAAUUAAAUAAUCAGUUUCGACAGUUUUCCGUACUGAAUGUUAGGAUUGGAACUGUUGUGACAAUGUGUAAAUGUGCUUCUGGCGUGGACUAUUAAAAGUAAGUUCGUUUACAAGGAUGUUUGAUCUCUGCGCACACAUUUUUUGGUUAGUUGUGGCUUACGCAACAAAUAGUAGGGGAAGUCAUGACCUCUUGUGUGAUACGGCUCGCUCAUCACGCGCAGGCCUUAUUCAUAAAAAUACAACAACAAAAAACAAACAGUUCAUCCAAGAUUUAAUCAGAGGAUUGCAAAAGAUAAUACUUUAAAUGUGAUUUUUAAUAUCACAUUUACAGUAGUCAGUUUGUUGUUCCGGUAUUAGACCAUGUAAAAAACACAGGACGCACACUAGAAACCUGAAAACAAAACUGCGCACUUUAUUAAAAAUAAAAGAUGAUUUUGUAGAGAAUCGGAUUUAUUCUUUUAACCAAGAAUAAAUAGUUUCCUUGCAUCUUUAUAUUUUAAGAAAAUACCACUAAAAACAACAAAAAUGUACAGUUUCCAGUUUAUUUGAACAAGUCGGCACUCACAUCUGCAUGACGACCACCGUCACUGGCUACAUCAUCGACACAGAACACAGAAAUUUAAAUACAGUGUGAAUUAGGAACUGACUGCAACACCAAAGUUUCCUAAUGCUGCCAGACUACGGCACACAAACGCACAUCAACUGAAAGAAAACCAAAUUUAAACACUCUAUUUAAAAGGGUUAACAGAUGACUCGAUGAUAUCGUUUGCGUGAGAGUUAAGCACAUUAUGGGUUUAUAAUGACGCUGAGGGACAUCCUCAAAUGUACAACAACUAAAAUGUGAUUAAAAUAACAUGACUUCGAGCUAAAUGAAGCAUUUUGGAAGCAAAUCUUUCAUAUGCAUUAAACAUUAGGCAAAGUGUGUGUGCAUGCACACCUGCACACAUCAGUCAAAACCCAAGAUGCUUUCCUACAAGACAAACUCUUUGCUGAGAAGGGACUUAGAGCACUUAGCCAAAUGGCAGCUUAUGACAAAGCCUCUUAAAAACCACGGCUGUCCUCUGUUGACAAAAGAAAUAUUUUCAGAGAAAAAAAGAAAGUCAAGAAGGCGGGCCCGCUGAGGCUGGUGAGCAAGCACACUCAGCAAGCUCCAA